AACGAACGCUGGCGGCAGGCUUAACACAUGCAAGUCGAGCGCCCCGCAAGGGGAGCGGCAGACGGGUGAGUAACGCGUGGGAAUCUACCCAUCUCUACGGAACAACUCCGGGAAACUGGAGCUAAUACCGUAUACGUCCUUCGGGAGAAAGAUUUAUCGGAGAUGGAUGAGCCCGCGUUGGAUUAGCUAGUUGGUGGGGUAAUGGCCUACCAAGGCGACGAUCCAUAGCUGGUCUGAGAGGAUGAUCAGCCACACUGGGACUGAGACACGGCCCAGACUCCUACGGGAGGCAGCAGUGGGGAAUAUUGGACAAUGGGCGAAAGCCUGAUCCAGCCAUGCCGCGUGAGUGAUGAAGGCCUUAGGGUUGUAAAGCUCUUUCGCAGGUGAAGAUAAUGACGGUAACCUGAGAAGAAGCCCCGGCUAACUUCGUGCCAGCAGCCGCCGUAAGAC
rnacentral:rRNA from 1 species